UAUAUGACUCUCGGCAACGGAUAUCUUGGCUCUCGCAUCGAUGAAGAACGUAGCGAAAUGCGAUACUUGGUGUGAAUUGCAGAAUCCCGCGAACCAUCGAGUCUUUGAACGCAAGUUGCGCCCGAGGCUAUCCGGCCGAGGGCACGCCUGCCUGGGCGUCA
rnacentral:rRNA from 8 species